rnacentral:lncRNA from 1 species
GUGUCACUGUGGGUGCGGGCUUUGAGGUCUCCUUUGCUCAAGAUUCUGCCCAGGAUCACAGUUCACUUCCUUGUGCUUUCUGAUCAAGAUGUAGCCAGCACCAUGUCUGCCUGCGCACCACCAUGCUCCCUGCCAUGCUGACAAUGGCCUGAACCUCUGAAACUGCCUGGAGCUAGGCAUGAUUGGAGUCAAAGGGAACUGUAUUACCACAGGUGUGAGGAUGCAGCCACCCACCAUCAGCCAAUGCACAGCCCAGCCUGGAGUCCCCGAAGGCUUCCCCAGGGACAGAACCGAGGAUCUCCCUCAGGUUCCUCUCUCUGGGGCACCAGCAGUAUUUUGGCUUCCACAUAGGUCUAUGAGGAACAACCCAAGGCAUCUGCCGGAUGUGCUGUCAGAGGGUUUCUGGAAGACAGAUGGCCAAACGGAAGUUUGGGACGAGGUGCAAUGGCGUGGGUGCAGAUCCUAACGACGCCUCCUUCAGCUGAGAAGCAUUCUUGGUCCUCUCUGAACCUCCAUUUCCUCCCCCUGCGAAGUAGAAAGGACAGCAGGCGUUCGUCAGAGAGAGCCGCGGAGAUUGAGAGCUGGGGCCAGGCAGGAGGCGCGAGUAAACACCAGCUGCCAUGGGUGCAGCAGCACCAGAGGCUCCGGGGGAGCAGGGAGCCGGGAGGGAGAUGAGAGAGCUCUGGAGCGUCUCCUCCACCAGGCAGGAACAGGAGUGCCCUGCAAGUUCCUGCCUGUCAGGGAUAAGCAACGCCAGCAGGGAUCAGGCAACAGCAUGGCAUGGCUGAAAUUGGUGGCUUUGUAUGUUGAGACAGGCCAUCACUGGUCCCUUGAGGCACCCAGUGGGCAAGCCAUCUGAGUGUCCCCUUGGGAUGCAGAGCUUCUUAGAAGUAACGACUGCCCCAUCUCGAGCCCAUAUGCCCUGGACCCCAGCUGAAGUGACUUGUGGUAUACAGAAGAGCAUGUCAGACCAUACGGGAAGGACCCUUCUUGGCAACCACUAUGUAACUUCUCUGUUACUUGCAUGUUGUUUAAAUUUAGAUCUUAACAGAUCAGACUUCCUCAGGUGGGUUCCCCAGGAAACUCCAGUGGUCACACUGGAGGAGAUGCAGCUGCUGAUGGGAUUUUCCCAGUGUGCUCUGC